UUACGGCCAUAUCACGUUGAAACACCAAUUCUUGUACGAACACCGAAGUUAAGUAACGUCCAGUUUGGUCAGUACCUAGAUGACUGACCCCCUGGCAAGAAUAGGUGCUGUAAG